rnacentral:tRNA from 1 species
GCCUGGGUAGCCUAGUGGACAUGGCAUCUGCCCGGUAAGCGGAACACUGUUGGUUCGAUUGCCAUCCCUGGACA